rnacentral:lncRNA from 1 species
UUGCAAAGUUAUACUGUUGGGGCGCAACAGAGUAGUCUAUUGUUGUUCCGGUUUUGGUUAUUGUUAAGGUUGACAUCGAUUCGUUUCAAAUUUACACUCUCGAGGCAUAAUAGAACAAUAUAAUUAGGUUUUACUCUUUGUUCGAUAGAAUGAGAAAAAGUACUCAUUGCAAAGUUAUACUGUUAGGGCGCAACCGAAUAGUCUAAUGUUGUUCCGGUUUUGGUUCUUGUGAACGCUGACAUCAAUUGGUUCGAAAUUACAACUCUCGGGGCAUAAUUGAACAAUAUAAAUUAGGUUUUACUCUUUGUUCGAUAGAAUGAGAAAAAGAACUCGUCGCAAAGUUAUACUGCUAGGGGGCAACUGAGUAGUCUAAUAUUGUUCCGGUUUUGGUUCUUGUGAACGUUGACAUCGAUUCGUUCCAAAUUUACACUCUCGGGGCAUAAUAGAACAAUACAAUUAAGUUUUACUCUUUGUUCGAUCGAAUGAGAAAAAGUACUCGUUGCAAAUUUAUAAUAUUAGGGCGCAGCUGAGUAGUCUAAUGUUGUUCCGGUUUUGGUUCUUGUGAAGGUUGACAUCGAUUCGUUCCAAAUUUACACUCUUGGGGCAUAAUAGAACAAUAUAAUUAGCUUUUACACUUUGUUCGAUCGAAUGGGAAAAAAGUACUCGUUACAAAGUUAUACUGUUAGGGCGCAACUGAGUAGUCUAUUGUUGUUCCAGCUUUGGUUCUUAUGAAGGUUGACAUCGAUUCAUUCCAAAUUUACACUCUCGCGGCAUAAUAGAACAAUAUAAUUAGCUUUUACACUUUGUUCGAUUGAAUGAGAAAAAGUACUAGUUGCAAAGUUAUAUUGUUGGGGUACAACAGAGUAGUCUAUUGUUGUUCCGGUUUUGGUUCUAGUGAAAGUUGACAUCGAUUCGUUCCAAAUUUACACUCUCGGGGCAUAAUGAAUAAAAUAAUUAGCUUUUACACUUUGUUCGAUUGAAUGAGAAAAAGUACUAGUUGCAAAGUUAUACUGUUGGGGCGCAACAGAGUAGUCUACUGUUGUUCCGGUUUUGGUUCUUGUUAAGGUUGACAUCGAUUCAUUCCAAAUUUACACUCUCGGGGCAUAAUAGGACAAUAUAAUUAGGUUUUACUCUUUGUUCGAUAGAAUGAGAAAAAGUACUCAUUGCAAAGUUCUACUGUUAGGGCGCAACUGAAUAGCGUUAUGUUGUUACGGUUUUGGUUCUUGUGAACGUUGACAUCGAUUCGUUCGAAAUUACAACUCUCGCGGCAUAAUUGAACAAUAUAAUUAGGUUUUACACUUUGUUCAAUAGAAUGAGAAAAAGUACUCGUCGCAAAGUUAUACUGUUGGGGCGCAACUAAGUAGUCUAAUGUUGUUCCGGUUUUGGUUCUUGUGAACGUUGACAUCGAUUCGUUCCAAAUUUACACUCUCGGGGCAAAAUAGGACAAUAUAAUUAAGUUUUACGCUUUGUUCGAUCGAAUGAGAAAAUGUACGCGUUGCAAAUUUAUACUGUUAGGGCGCAGCUGGGUAGUCUAAUGUUGUUCCGGUUUCGGUUCAUGUGAAGGUUGACAUCGAUUCGUUCCAAAUGUACACUCUUGGGGCAUAAUAGAACAAUAUAAUUAGCUUUUACACUUUGUUCAAUCGAAUGGAAAAAAAUACUCGUUGCAAAGUUAUACUGUUAGGGCGCAGCUUAGUAGUCUAAUGUUGUUCCGGUUUUGGUUCUUGUGAAGGUUGACAUCGAUUCGUUCUAAAUUUACACUCGCGGGGCAUAAUAGAACAAUAUAAUUAGCUUUUACACUUUGUUCGGUCGAAUGGGAAAAAGUACUCGUUGCAAAGUUAUACUGUUAGGGCGGAACUGAGUAGACUAUUGUUGUUCCGGUUUUGGUUCUUGUGAAGGUUGACAUCGAUUCGUUCCAAAUUUACACUCUUGGGGCAUAAUAGAACAAUAUAAUUAGUUUUUACACUUUGUUCGAUUGAUUAAGAAAAAGUACUAGUUGCAAAGUUAUACUGUUGGGGCGCAACAGAGUAGUCUAUUGUUGUUCCGGUUUUGAUUCUUGCUAAGGUUGACAUCGAUUCGUUCCAAAUUUACACUCUCGGGGCAUAAUAGAACAAUAUAAUUUGGUUUUACUCUUUGUUCGAUAGAAUAAGAAAAAGUAGUCAUUGCAAUGUUAUACUGUUAGGGCGCCACUGAAUAGUCUAAUAUUGUUCCGGUUUUGGUUCUUGUGAACGUUGACAUCGAUUCGUUCGAAAUUACAACUCUCGGGGCAUAAUUGAACAAUAUAAUUAGGUUUUACUCUUUGUUCGAUAGAAUGAGAAAAAGUACUCGUCGCAAAGUUAUACUGCUAGGGCGCAACUGAGUAGUCUAAUGUUGUUCCGAUUUUGGUUCUUGUGAACGUUGACAUCGAUUCGUUCCAAAUUUACACUCUCGGGGCACAAUUGAACAAUAUAAUUAGGUUUUACUCUUUGUUCGAUAAAAAGAGAAAAAGUACUCGUUGCAAAGUUAUACUGUUAGGGCGCAACAGAGUAGUCUAAUGUUGUUCCGGUUUUCGUUCUUGUGAACGGUGACAUCGAUUCGUUCCAAAUUUACACUCUCGGGNCUGGGAACUUGUUGUACACAAUCUCGUCGUUGUGCCUUGGGCGGACAGGGGAGGUACUGUCCGUACGGCGGUCCGCCGCCGUGCCCGAACCGAACCAAAUUGGUAUCGGCCUCGGGGCGGGGGCGUGACAGAAAAAUUACUAGUUGCAAAGUUAUACUGUUGGGGCGCAACAGAGUAGUCUAUUGUUGUUCCGGUUUUGGUUAUUGUUAAGGUUGACAUCGAUUCGUUUCAAAUUUACACUCUCGAGGCAUAAUAGAACAAUAUAAUUAGGUUUUACUCUUUGUUCGAUAGAAUGAGAAAAAGUACUCAUUGCAAAGUUAUACUGUUAGGGCGCAACCGAAUAGUCUAAUGUUGUUCCGGUUUUGGUUCUUGUGAACGCUGACAUCAAUUGGUUCGAAAUUACAACUCUCGGGGCAUAAUUGAACAAUAUAAAUUAGGUUUUACUCUUUGUUCGAUAGAAUGAGAAAAAGAACUCGUCGCAAAGUUAUACUGCUAGGGGGCAACUGAGUAGUCUAAUAUUGUUCCGGUUUUGGUUCUUGUGAACGUUGACAUCGAUUCGUUCCAAAUUUACACUCUCGGGGCAUAAUAGAACAAUACAAUUAAGUUUUACUCUUUGUUCGAUCGAAUGAGAAAAAGUACUCGUUGCAAAUUUAUAAUAUUAGGGCGCAGCUGAGUAGUCUAAUGUUGUUCCGGUUUUGGUUCUUGUGAAGGUUGACAUCGAUUCGUUCCAAAUUUACACUCUUGGGGCAUAAUAGAACAAUAUAAUUAGCUUUUACACUUUGUUCGAUCGAAUGGGAAAAAAGUACUCGUUACAAAGUUAUACUGUUAGGGCGCAACUGAGUAGUCUAUUGUUAUUCCAGUUUUGGUUCUUGUGAAGGUUGACAUCGAUUCGUUCCAAAUUUACACUCUCGGGGCAUAAUAGAACAAUAAAAUUAGCUUUUACACUUUGUUCGAUUGAAUAAGAAAAAGUACUAGUUGCAAAGUUAUAUUGUUGGGGUGCAACAGAGUAGUCUAUUGUUUUUCCGAUUUUGGUUCUGGUGAAGGUUGAUAUCGAUUCGUUCCAAAUUUACACUCUCGGGGCAUAAUGAAUAAAAUAAAUAGCUUUUACACUUUGUUCGAUUGAAUGAGAAAAAGUACUAGUUGCAAAGUUAUACUGUUGGGGCGCAACAGAGUAGUUUACUGUUGUUCCGAUUUUGGUUCUUGUUAAGGUUGACAUCGAUUCAUUCCAAAUUUACACUCUCGGGGCAUAAUAGAACAAUACAAUUAAGUUUUACUCUUUGUUCGAUCGAAUGAGAAAAAGUACUCGUUGCAAAAUUAUGCUGUUAGGGCGCAACUGAGUAGUCUAGUGUUGUUCCGAUUUUGGUUCUUGUGAAGAUUGACAUCGAUUCGUUCCAAAUUUACACUCUCGGGGCAUAAUAGAACAAUAUAAUUAGCUUUUACACUUUGUUCGAUUGAAUGAGAAAAAGUACUAGUUGCAAAGUUAUACUGUUGGGGCGCAACAGAGUAGUCUAUUGUUGUUCCGGUUUUGGUUCUUGUUAAGGUUGACAUCGAUUCGUUCCAAAUUUACACUCUCGGGGCAUAAUAGAACAAUAUAAUUAGGUUUUACUCUUUGUUCGAUCGAAUGAGAAAAAGUACUCGUUGCAAAGUUAUACUGUUAGGGCGCAACUGAGUAGUCUAAUGUUGUUCCGGUUUUGGUUCUUGUGAACGUUGACAUCGAUUCGUUCGAAUUUACACUCUCGCGGCAUAAUAGAACAAUAUAAUUAGGUUUUACACUUUGUUCGAUAGAAUGAGAAAAAGUACUCGUUGCAAAGUUAUACUGUUAGGGCGCAACUGAGUAGUCUAAUGUUGUUCCGGUUUUGGUUCUUGUGAACGUUGACAUCGAUUCGUUCCAAAUUUACACUCUCGGGGCAUAAUAGAACAAUAUAAUUAGGUUUUACGCUUUGUUCGAUUGAAUGAGAAAAAGUACUCGUUGCAAAGUUAUACUGUUAGGGCGCAACUGAGUAGUCUAAUGUUGUUCCGGUUUUGGUUCUUGUGAACGUUGACAUCGAUUCGUUCCAAAUUUACACUCUCGGGGCAUAAUAGAACAAUAUAAUUAGNNNNNNNNNNNNNNNNNNNNNNNNNAGAUCGAUUCGUUCCAAAUUUACACUCUCGGGGCAUAAUAGGAAGUUUUUACUUCUUGUUCGAUAGAAUAAGAAAAAGUACUCAUCGCAAAGUUAUACUGUUAUGGCGCAACUGAGUAGUCUAAUGUUGUUCCGGUUUUGGUUCUUGUCAACGUUGACAUCGAUUCGUUCUAAAUUUACACUCUCGACGCUUGAACAAUAUAAUUAGGUUUUACUCUUUAUUCGAUUGAAUGAGAAAAAGGACUAGUUGCAAUGUUAUACUGUUAGGGCUCAACUGAGUAGUCUAACGUUCUUCCGGUUUUGGUUCUUGUGAACGCUGACAUUGAUUCGUUCCGAAUUUACACCCUUGGGGCAUAAAAGAAAGCUUUUACUCCUUGUUCGAUGAUUGAGAAAAAGUACUCAUUGCAAAGUUAUACUGUUAUGGCGCAAUAGAGUAGUCUAAUGUUGUUCCGGUUUUGGUUCUUGUGAACAUUGACGUCAAUUAGUUCCAAAUUUACACUCUCGGGGCAUAAUAGAACAAUAUUAUUAUGUUUUACGCUUUAUUCGAUUGAACGAGAAAAAGUACUCGUCGCAAAGUUAUUCUAUUAGGCGCAACUGAGUAGUCUAAUGUAGUUCCGGUUAUGGUACUUGUGAACGUUGACAUCGAUUCGUUCCAAAUUUACACUCUCGGGGCAUAAUAGAAAGCUUUUACUCCUUGUUCAAUAGAAUUAGAAAAAGUACUCGUUGCAAAGUUAAACUGUUAAGGCACACAGAGUAGUCUAUUGUUGUUCCGAUUUUGGUUCUUGUCAACGUUGACAUCGAUUCGUUCCAAAUUUACACUCUUGGGGUAUAAUAGAACAAUAUAAUUAGGUUUUACUCUUUAGUCGAUUGAAUGAGAAAAAGUACUAGUUGCAAUGUAAUACUAUCAGGGCUCAACUGAGUAGUCUAACGUUGUUUCUGUUUUGGUUCUUGUGAACGUUGACAUCGAUUCGUUCAAAAUUUACACUCUCGGGGAAUAAUAAAAAGCUUUUACUCCUUACUCGAAACAAUGAGAAAAAGUACACGUUGCAAAGUUAUGCUAUUAUGGCGCAACAGAGUAGCCUAAUGUAGUUCCGGUUUUGGUUCUUGUCAACGUUGACAUCGAUUCGUUCCAAAUAUACACUCUCGGGGCAUAAUAGAACAAUAUCGUUUGGUUUUACUCUUUAUUCGAUUGAAUGAGAGAAAGUACUCGUUGCAAAGUUAUACUGUUAUGGCAAAACUGAGUAGUCAAAUUUAGUUCCUGUUUUGGUUCUUGUGAACUUUGACUUCGAUUCGUUCCAAAUUUAUACUCUCGAGGCAUAAUAGAACAAUAUUAUUAGUUUUGCUAUUUGUUCGAUUGAAUGAGAACAAGUUCUAGUUGCAAAGUUAUACUGUCAAGGCUCAACUGAGUAGUCAAACGUUGUUCCGGUUUUGGUUUUUGUGAACGUCAACAUCGUUACGUUGCAAAUUUACACUCUCGGGGCAUAAUAGAAAGCUUUUACACCUUGUUCGAUAGAAAGAGAAAAAGUACUCGUUGCAAAAUUAUAUUGUUAUGGCGCAACAGAGUAGUCUAAUGUUAUUUCAGGUUUGGUUCUUGUGAACAUUGACAUCGAUUCAUACCAAAUUUACACUCUCGGUGCAUAAUAGAACAACAUAAGUAGGUUUUGCUCUUUGUUCGAUUGAAUGAGAAAAAGUACUAGUUGCAAUCUUAUACUGUUAGGGCUCAACUGAGUUGUCUAACGUUGUUUCGGUUUUGGUUCUCGUGAACGUUGACAUCGAUUCNNNNNNNNNNNNNNNNNNNNNNNNNAUACUGUUAUGGCGCAACUGAGUAGUCUAAUGUUGUUCCAGUUUUGGUUCUUGUGAACGUUGACAUCGAUUCGUUCCAAAUUAAAACUCUCCGGUAAUAAUAGAACAAUAUAAUUAGGUUUUGCUCUUUGUUCGAUUGAAUGAGAAAAAAUACUAGUUGCAAAGUUAUACUGUUAGGGCUCAACUGAGUAGUCUAACGUUGUUCCGGUUUUAGU